GCGGGAAUAGCUCAGUUGGUAGAGCACGACCUUGCCAAGGUCGGGGUCGCGAUUAAAAUCCCUCGGCGUUCGCGCUGUGCGGGUUCAAGUCCCGCUCCGGGUACCA
rnacentral:tRNA from 1 species